AGAGUUUGAUCAUGGCUCAGAUUGAACGCUGGCGGCAGGCCUAACACAUGCAAGUCGAACGGUAACAGGAAGAAGCUUGCUUCUUUGCUGACGAGUUGCGGACGGGUGAGUAUGUCUGGGAAACUGCCUGAUGGAGGGGGAUAACUACUGGAAACGGUAGCUAAUACCGCAUAACGUCGCAAGACCAAAGAGGGGGACCUUCGGGCCUCUUGCCAUCGGAUGUGCCCAGAUGGGAUUAGCUUGUUGGUGGGGUAACGGCUCACCAAGGCGACGAUCCCUAGCUGGUCUGAGAGGAUGACCAGCCACACUGGAACUGAGACACGGUCCAGACUCCUACGGGAGGCAGCAGUGGGGAAUAUUGCACAAUGGGCGCAAGCCUGAUGCAGCCAUGCCGCGUGUAUGAAGAAGGCCUUCGGGUUGUAAAGUACUUUCAGCGGGGAGGAAGGGAGUAAAGUUAAUACCUUUGCUCAUUGACGUUACCCGCAGAAGAAGCACCGGCUAACUCCGUGCCAGCAGCCGCGGUAAUACGGAGGGUGCAAGCGUUAAUCGGAAUUACUGGGCGUAAAGCGCACGCAGGCGGUUUGUUAAGUCAGAUGUGAAAUCCCCGGGCUCAACCUGGGAACUGCAUCUGAUACUGGCAAGCUUGAGUCUCGUAGAGGGGGGUAGAAUUCCAGGUGUAGCGGUGAAAUGCGUAGAGAUCUGGAGGAAUACCGGUGGCGAAGGCGGCCCCCUGGACGAAGACUGACGCUCAGGUGCGAAAGCGUGGGGAGCAAACAGGAUUAGAUACCCUGGUAGUCCACGCCGUAAACGAUGUCGACUUGGAGGUUGUGCCCUUGAGGCGUGGCUUCCGGAGCUAACGCGUUAAGUCGACCGCCUGGGGAGUACGGCCGCAAGGUUAAAACUCAAAUGAAUUGACGGGGCCCGCACAAGCGGUGGAGCAUGUGGUUUAAUUCGAUGCAACGCGAAGAACCUUACCUGGUCUUGACAUCCACAGAACUUUCCAGAGAUGGAUUGGUGCCUUCGGGAACUGUGAGACAGGUGCUGCAUGGCUGUCGUCAGCUCGUGUUGUGAAAUGUUGGGUUAAGUCCCGCAACGAGCGCAACCCUUAUCCUUUGUUGCCAGCGGUCCGGCCGGGAACUCAAAGGAGACUGCCAGUGAUAAACUGGAGGAAGGUGGGGAUGACGUCAAGUCAUCAUGGCCCUUACGACCAGGGCUACACACGUGCUACAAUGGCGCAUACAAAGAGAAGCGACCUCGCGAGAGCAAGCGGACCUCAUAAAGUGCGUCGUAGUCCGGAUUGGAGUCUGCAACUCGACUCCAUGAAGUCGGAAUCGCUAGUAAUCGUGGAUCAGAAUGCCACGGUGAAUACGUUCCCGGGCCUUGUACACACCGCCCGUCACACCAUGGGAGUGGGUUGCAAAAGAAGUAGGUAGCUUAACCUUCGGGAGGGCGCUUACCACUUUGUGAUUCAUGACUGGGGUGAAGUCGUAACAAGGUAACCGUAGGGGAACCUGCGGUUGGAUCACCU
rnacentral:rRNA from 1 species